UAGGGAAUAUUAGUAAUGGGCGAAAGCCUGAACUAGCAACGCCGCGUGUGCGAAGAAGGCCUUCGGGUUGUAAAGCACUUUUUGAGAGGAUGAGGAAGGACGGUACUCUCAGAAUAAGUCUCGGCUAACUACGUGCCAGCAGCCGCGGUAACACGUAGGAGGCGAACGUUAUCCGGAUUUACUGGGCGUAAAGCGCGUGUAGGUGGUAUGGUAAGUAGGGCGUGAAAGCUCCUGGCUCAACUGGGAGAGGCCGUUCUAAACUGCCGAACUAGAGGAUGGUAGAGGGAGGUGGAAUUCCGGGUGUAGCGGUGGAAUGUGCAGAUAUCCGGAGGAACACCAGUGGCGAAAGCGGCCUCCUGGACCACUCCUGACACUCAGACGCGAAAGCUAGGGUAGCAAACGG
rnacentral:rRNA from 1 species